rnacentral:rRNA from 1 species
UACGUAGGGUGCAAGCGUUAAUCGGAAUUACUGGGCGUAAAGCGUGCGCAGGCGGUUUUUGUAAGUCUGUCGUGAAAUCCCCGGGCUCAACCUGGGAAUGGCGAUGGAGACUGCAAGGCUAGAAUCUGGCAGAGGGGGGUAGAAUUCCACGUGUAGCAGUGAAAUGCGUAGAGAUGUGGAGGAACACCGAUGGCGAAGGCAGCCCCCUGGGGUCAAGAUUGACGCUCAUGCACGAAAGCGUGGGGAGCAAACAGG